GGUUAAGCGACUAAGCGUACACGGUGGAUGCCCUGGCAGUCAGAGGCGAUGAAGGACGUGCUAAUCUGCGAAAAGCGUCGGUAAGGUGAUAUGAACCGUUAUAACCGGCGAUGUCCGAAUGGGGAAACCCAGUGCAAUUCGUUGCACUAUCGUUAACUGAAUACAUAGGUUAACGAGGCGAACCGGGGGAACUGAAACAUCUAAGUACCCCGAGGAAAAGAAAUCAACCGAGAUUCCCCCCAGUAGCGGCGAGCGAACGGGGAGCAGCCCAGAGUCUGAAUCAGCUUGUGUGUUAGUGGAACGGUCUGGAAAGUCCGACGGUACAGGGUGAUAGUCCCGUACACCAAAAUGCACAGGCUGUGAACUCGAAGAGUAGGGCGGGACACGUGGUAUCCUGUCUGAAUAUGGGGGACCAUCCUCCAAGGCUAAAUACUCCUGACUGACCGAUAGUGAACCAGUACCGUGAGGGAAAGGCGAAAAGAACCCCGGCGAGGGGAGUGAAAAAGAACCUGAAACCGUGUACGUACAAGCAGUGGGAGCACCUUCGGGUGUGACUGCGUACCUUUGUAUAAUGGGUCAGCGACUUAUAUUCUGUAGCAAGGUUAACCGUAUAGGGGAGCCGCAGGGAAACCGAGUCUUAACUGGGCGUUAAGUUGCAGGGUAUAGACCCGAAACCCGGUGAUCUAGCCAUGGGCAGGUUGAAGGUUGGGUAACACUAACUGGAGGACCGAACCGACUAAUGUUGAAAAAUUAGCGGAUGACUUGUGGCUGGGGGUGAAAGGCCAAUCAAACCGGGAGAUAGCUGGUUCUCCCCGAAAGCUAUUUAGGUAGCGCCUCGUGAACUCAUCUUCGGGGGUAGAGCACUGUUUCGGCUAGGGGGUCAUCCCGACUUACCAACCCGAUGCAAACUACGAAUACCGAAGAAUGUUAUCACGGGAGACACACGGCGGGUGCUAACGUCCGUCGUGAAGAGGGAAACAACCCAGACCGCCAGCUAAGGUCCCAAAGUCAUGGUUAAGUGGGAAACGAUGUGGGAAGGCACAGACAGCCAGGAUGUUGGCUUAGAAGCAGCCAUCAUUUAAAGAAAGCGUAAUAGCUCACUGGUCGAGUCGGCCUGCGCGGAAGAUGUAACGGGGCUAAACCAUGCACCGAAGCUGCGGCAGCGACACUAUGUGUUGUUGGGUAGGGGAGCGUUCUGUAAGCCUGCGAAGGUGUGCUGUGAGGCAUGCUGGAGGUAUCAGAAGUGCGAAUGCUGACAUAAGUAACGAUAAAGCGGGUGAAAAGCCCGCUCGCCGGAAGACCAAGGGUUCCUGUCCAACGUUAAUCGGGGCAGGGUGAGUCGACCCCUAAGGCGAGGCCGAAAGGCGUAGUCGAUGGGAAACAGGUUAAUAUUCCUGUACUUGGUGUUACUGCGAAGGGGGGGACGGAGAAGGCUAUGUUAGCCGGGCGACGGUUGUCCCGGUUUAAGCAUGUAGGCUGAUUGUCCGAGGCAAAUCCGGAUAAUCAAGGCUGAGGUGUGAUGACGAGGCACUACGGUGCUGAAGUAACAAAUGCCCUGCUUCCAGGAAAAGCCUCUAAGCAUCAGGUAACAUUAAAUCGUACCCCAAACCGACACAGGUGGUCAGGUAGAGAAUACCAAGGCGCUUGAGAGAACUCGGGUGAAGGAACUAGGCAAAAUGGUGCCGUAACUUCGGGAGAAGGCACGCUGGUGUGUAGGUGAAGUCCCUGCGGAUGGAGCUGAGACCAGUCGAAGAUACCAGCUGGCUGCAACUGUUUAUUAAAAACACAGCACUGUGCAAACACGAAAGUGGACGUAUACGGUGUGACGCCUGCCCGGUGCCGGAAGGUUAAUUGAUGGGGUUAUCCGUAAGGAGAAGCUCUUGAUCGAAGCCCCGGUAAACGGCGGCCGUAACUAUAACGGUCCUAAGGUAGCGAAAUUCCUUGUCGGGUAAGUUCCGACCUGCACGAAUGGCGUAAUGAUGGCCAGGCUGUCUCCACCCGAGACUCAGUGAAAUUGAACUCGCUGUGAAGAUGCAGUGUACCCGCGGCAAGACGGAAAGACCCCGUGAACCUUUACUAUAGCUUGACACUGAACAUUGAGCCUUGAUGUGUAGGAUAGGUGGGAGGCUUUGAAGCGUGGACGCCAGUCUGCGUGGAGCCAACCUUGAAAUACCACCCUUUAAUGUUUGAUGUUCUAACGUUGGCCCCUGACCGGGGUUGCGGACAGUGUCUGGUGGGUAGUUUGACUGGGGCGGUCUCCUCCCAAAGCGUAACGGAGGAGCACGAAGGUUAGCUAAUCCUGGUCGGACAUCAGGAGGUUAGUGCAAUGGCAUAAGCUAGCUUGACUGCGAGCGUGACGGCGCGAGCAGGUGCGAAAAGCAGGUCAUAGUGAUCCGGUGGUUCUGAAUGGAAGGGCCAUCGCUCAACGGAUAAAAGGUACUCCGGGGAUAACAGGCUGAUACCGCCCAAGAGUUCAUAUCGACGGCGGUGUUUGGCACCUCGAUGUCGGCUCAUCACAUCCUGGGGCUGAAGUAGGUCCCAAGGGUAUGGCUGUUCGCCAUUUAAAGUGGUACGCGAGCUGGGUUUAGAACGUCGUGAGACAGUUCGGUCCCUAUCUGCCGUGGGCGCUGGAGAAUUGAGGGGGGCUGCUCCUAGUACGAGAGGACCGGAGUGGACGCAUCACUGGUGUUCGGGUUGUCAUGCCAAUGGCACUGCCCGGUAGCUAAAUGCGGAAGAGAUAAGUGCUGAAAGCAUCUAAGCACGAAACUUGCCCCGAGAUGAGUUCUCCCUGAGACUUUAAGUCUCCUGAAGGAACGUUAAAGACGAUGACGUUGAUAGGCCGGGUGUGUAAGCGCAGCGAUGCGUUGAGCUAACCGGUACUAAUGAACCGUGAGGCUUAACCUU
rnacentral:rRNA from 1 species